UUGCAAAACAUGUAUUUCUUGCCUCUCCAAUCAAACCCCACCCCUUCCAUGCAAAAACUGAGACAGUAAGUUGACAUUGAAAAGUACUGACACUAAAACAAAAACUAGGUUUUCAAAUGUCAUUGAAAAAGCACAUCAGAAUAAACAAAAAACUGUCAAAACACAGCUAUGUAGAAGUGAACACCUGUGACUGUAUUCACAUUCACUACCCAAACAGCUUGUGUAGGUUAACUUGUACGUCGCUUUGGACAAAAGCGUCUGCUAAAUGACUAAAUGUAAAUGUAGAUGUAAAUGUUAAGAAAACCAAGAUGGCUGAUUGUUUGGUAUCGGUUUCCCUCCUCCAUCUUCAUCAGUUUGAGGUUGCUUUCAGGGCCUGCACGGCUCUGAGUGGCACUCCAUCACUCAGCCACCCCUCUGGUGUCCUUGACAACCACAGGAGGGAAGUUCUACAUACACAGACAGACAAUUGUCAUCGUAUACAAGAAAGCAGAUGCAUAUUUCAUGAUGCUUGCAUAUAUUAAGAAGAUCUCCACGGGGUUUCCAUAGCUGAAGUGGCCUUCCACUUUACAUCAUUUUCAUUAUAUUCACCAGGAUGAUUACAACAAACUACUAAAAGUGGGGGUUACUGUGCCACCUAAUCUGUAUUUCAGAUUACGAUGAUCCACUGUAUAUACAGACAGCUGCUGCGUGACUAUGAGGCAAUUUAGAUGUAAUCUUCUGAGGGUUAUCUCACCCCCUUACCACAUAAUCUUGCUUGCAAGGGCUCCAUGUUGUGAGAUACCAUUCCGUGGCUGAGUAGCUGUGGAUGACUCAGCCUUGUGCUACUGGUCCUAUUCUUAGUAACACUGUAUCUCUGUAUUGCAUAACUGAAUAUCACAGUAAGGUCAGCAUCCACACGUGUUAGUGUAAGUAGUUCACUUACAAAUCACUGAUGAUUUUCCAUGUCUGAGUGCGUAGAAGAGGUCUGAGUUAUAUUCCAGCUUGUUACUUUUUACACUGACUGGGGAUGAUAUCCUCAGGCAGUGGUUCAACUUCCAGCAACUUCCUCCUGUUACUCUAUCAUGGGUUUGCAUGCGGUCACCCCUAUCUGUAGUUGGAAUGCUGACAACACAACCUUUCUGUUCCAUGAACCGAGGGGAUUUACACCCACAGAAAGGCAGGGAUCCUGCCAGUGGCCAACUGCAGGGGCUGAUGGUGGGGAGGGGGACGUAUCUGACCACUGCAGCCCCUGCUCCAGGAUUAAAGGGAGGAAGCAUGGAUGAGGGUAAGAUCUCAGACGAUGACCUUGCUCCUGGCCAGGCGGCUCUGGUGGAGGUAUGACAGGCAGCUAUAACCUGUACCUGACAUCUUCAGCGCACAUUACACCAGGUGUCCCAUAGUGUGUGGCAUGCUGCCCGAGGAAGAGCACUUUUGGGUAUCCUUGAAGAAAGAAUUUAAGGAUGAGGACGAGGAAGAUAUACAUAACAAAUAAAGGCCUAAGGCUGAUUUUGACACAGAACAUGUACAUUAUGUUACUCAACAAACUUUUUUUUAAAUGUAAUAGUUUCUAAUUCGUAUUCAUUGUUAUGUUCUUUUUUUCUGUCUGAUGGAACUUGGUUUCCCCUAGUCUCUUCCACUUUCUGCACCAACUUCUGAGCUAGGCUUAGGCCCUACUGAAUAUAGUCUACAAUAUGCCCCCAGCAGAAAAAAGACCAAAGGAAGGGAACAUACCGAACGUUCCCGGGACAAUUCUGGCAUUCAUGAAAGUUUUCUCAUCUGUGAUUUGUUUGCUUUGAACAGAAUUUAAGAACGCUAAAUAACAGUCGUAAAUCGGCCAGUUUGGAGUGCGCCCAUGUUGUUAACGGCUGAAUUUGUGAGAAAUCAUUGGUGAUUGCGUUCACAUCAAGUUCUACAGACAUCCUCAGAUUUAAAUGAUUAUAAUAAUAAUAAAUAAGAGAAUAUUUGUAUCAUAAACAAUUACGUUUCACAUUUAUAGUCAUGUUUCUAGGAGGCAUCGUGAUGUCUUAACAAAAAUAAAAGCACUACACGAACACUGCAAAUGGCAUUGAAAAAAUAAAUACCGUAAAUCCUCAAAUUGUGGCCGGGGCUUUUAUUUACUUAGGCUGCACAGCGCACUGGCCUGUAUUUAGGGCAGGCUUGUAUUAGGGGCAGGCCUUUAUUUCUUACUUAUUAUACGGCUCUUCAGAAUGUUCCCCAACAUUAGCAGGUCUGUAAUUUCUUGAUAUUCACCACUGCGAAAAGUUAAUGACCGCUAUCAUUGGCAACAGGUUUUGUGCUUCUAAUUCACAUCUUUCAUAUCAUUCCACAAGAAGUCCGGUCAUUUAACGUAGCGGAAAGUCAUUGUAACUUGAAGUCAGCAAGUAAUGGGUUGCUACGCAACACCUGGAACGUUAAAGUUCUAUUAGCCUGAAGACAUUUUUUUUCUUAGCGGAAAUCACGAAACGGCAACAAAAUCAUGGAGGAAUGUCUUCUAUCGUUUAGGCAAGUAACUGUAUAAAAACAAAUUCGCCUUGUAGGCUGAAACAUUUCUUUUUUUAUUGCAAACAGCCAUGAAAUUAUCCAACAACAUUAAACAUGAGGAGAACAUGUAUUUAUGAAAUGCAUUCAAUUAAAUUGUGAUAUCUGCUUUGUGCUGAUGGACUGAUGCUGGUAGGCUACAGUAAAAUAGGCUACCGGUACCUUUUUUUACCCCCGGCUUGUAUUCGGGGCCCUGUCUUUAUUUGUCCGUAUCGACCACGCCCCCGGCUUCUAUCUGAAGCCCGGCCUCUAAUUGAAUCCCGGUCUUUAUUUGAGGAUUUACGGUAAGCACUAAACUCAAUCGCGUGGAUAUAGCCAUGGUGGAAUAGAAUGGACACAUCUACAUUCUGCAACAGUACCUCCACCUCUGCACCGGUGAAGUAAGGAUACAUGUUGAAAGUUGCUCCUGUAAAGUUCCAGCAAAACCCACGCUGACCGUGUGAACUUUGGACAUUAUUUGUCUGUGAGUAGAUAUUUUGUGUUGGGACAUUAAUGCCGUUUAGAGAAUUUGUGUUUGUAAAUGUUAUAAGAGAAUUCAGUAUUUAGCAGCCAAGUUAUGCUAGCUCUUGUGGUAUCGUGCUACCUUUAUGCCACAUCAUUUGACGUGAAAUGUAUGUAUCUCUUUAUUUCUGUCUGUUCCAGACAGUUUUACUAAAUCAAACGUCCUGUAUGAAUAAUUGCAUGCUGAUAACUUCAGUAAACUCAAAAAAAACAAGACUUGUGGAUUCACUUGAAAUUCAUCUUUAUUCUGCAAAGACAAGUGUUAGCUAGCUGUCAGUCCUGCAAGGUAGCAAACGCAGUACGAAGACAGCAUAGAGAGACAGAGGGAGAUAGGGCCAGACAGCAAUUUUUUCAUGUCCCCCCCAAGAUUUACUCUCUGAAAUGUUACCAUGUAUUGUCCCCCCCUACAAAGAAAUGGGAUCUCCGCCCCUGCCCACACCGUCAGGAAUGAUGUUUUUAAUAGCCAAAAUCCCAUCUCAGAGGCUAGAAUAAUGACGUGAAGUGUUUGUUAAUUAAUGGAGAAAUGGAAUCCUUGAACUGCAGAGCCCCCAUCCAUUUUUAAAGUGCUGGCUUGAAUUUACGAAUGGAUCCAAGUUCAUUACUAUCCUGUAGUUAGUAUCAACAAGUAGCUCAAUAGCAAGCCCAUCAGACAAACAUGGAUGGUUAGACUAGUCUAGAUCAGCUAGCUCAAAAGCUCUAAUUCUUAAAUGAAGACCUACAGGGGUCUGCUUGCCUCGACUAAGUCGAUGGAUUGAUGUUGAUGGACACACUAAUGGCCACACCACCUUGGUCAAACAUUUUUCACUUCUGUGAAGAGAGAGGAGGUAGGGGUGUACACACGUAGUAACACACCGUCCCCAAUCUGUUUCAGACGGGGAAUGUGAAAUCAUUUAGCUCACUAGCUGAGUCACACCACCUUGGUCAAACAUUUUUCACACCGUCCCCAAUCUGUUUCAGACGGGGAAUGUGAAAUCAUUUAGCUCACUAGCUGAGUCACACCACCUUGGUCAAACAUUUUUCACACCGUCCCCAAUCUGUUUCAGACGGGGAAUGUGAAAUCAUUUAGCUCACUAACUGAGUGCAGAACAUAAAGGUCAGGUCUGACGUCUUAGUCACGGGCCUCAGCAGUAAUGGACCUCUAAAGAGAGCCCAUCUUCAGUGAUGACAUCAUUAGAUCAUUUAACAAGGAUGUUGCUUUCUCCGGUUGAGGUAGAAAUCAUGCUGGAAUGCUCAUCACAUCCAGUUCUAAUGUGUUUCUCCCUCAAAGGAGACGGUGUUUGACCCGUUCAUUUCUUACGAUUACUUGUGUCAUCGUGUGCAGGAAGUGGAAGAGUGAGGUACUCAGAUGCCUGCAGCACACGGUUUGGCAAAACCACAGUUGUGUGCUGGCAAGUGGAGUUCUCUGAUGAUCCAGCUCUUUGCUUUUAAUGAGCACCAAAGAUCAAACAGUGGUGUGUUUGGUUUGAUUGGGUUGACCCAGAUGAAAUAACUUGCAUGCCUCUGAAGCCAACUGAGCAUGUAGCGUAAGAGAGGGACAUAAGUGAAAUGUGAUUUUGUUUGCUUGACAUAUAAAAAGGGUUAUGUUAGUUUACUUACCACAAUUCCGGCUGUACAUAUAUCCAGGACAGGUAGAUUUUUUUCGAUAACAAUGCUAUGAGGAUAAAAUGACAAUGAAAUAGACGUACAUUUUAUUUGGUGAUUUCAAGAUAGUAAGUUGUUAUUUCUAGAUAGUAUCUCAAGUAAGUCGAUAUAUUAUCUUGUUUUCAAGAUUUUAAGUUUAAGUUUAAUAGUAUUUCAAAAGUCAUUAUUUCAAGAUAGUAUCUUGUUAUUUCAAGAUAUUAUUAUCUUACUACUCGGUAAGACGUUGUAAGAUGCAGUAGCUUAUCAGGUUAAAUGGGCCCAUAUCUCUCAAAGUAAAAGAUUAAAGUAAAGCACAUAUUUUAACAUUGUGAGAAAAAAUGAAUGCCUUAAAAAAUAAAUAUUAAACCCUUGAAGUGACCUUGAUCAAUAAAUAGCCUUUCAUGAUAUCCUCUGGAUGAAGAAGCCUAUUUAAUGUUUUUUAUUUUUAUUUGAGGUAUCAUUGCAAUGACCUGGUCUAAAUUAGUGAUUUCUAGUGUCAUGCAAGUAGUCAAUAAAAUGUUAAAGUGGACAUUACACACUAAAUGUAGUUAGCAUUAUUUACAAGAUGGGUUCCCACUGUAAAAAUCCUAAUAGGUUUAACACUGUCAGUGAAACUGGAUUAAAAAUAAUAACUAAUAAGUAAUUGAAGUUACAAUUUGCAAACAAGUCUAGCACCAUCUUUGAAACUCUGACUUAGUAAAUAUUAUCUUGAAAUAAGAACUUAUUAUUUUGAAAUAAUGAGAUACUAUCUUGAAAUAAUGACAUGACAAUAUGUUUAAACAAUGAGAUAUUAUCUUGGAAUUAUGACAACAUAUUGUAAAAACGAGACACCACCGUGAAAUAAUGAUUUAAUAUCUUGAAAUAACAAGAUACUAUCUAGAAAUAAUGACUUAAUAUCUUGAUAUCCUGAAAAGGAUCUAUUAGUUAUUUAGGUUUUCAAUUUUCUUCACAUAAAUACACAUGUACUGUAUAUUGACAGUAAUGGUAACAUGACAUCUGCCACAGCAUGUUUUUAUGUAGUAACAUCAAUCUGAUAAUGUAGGCUACCAAUUCAUUUCACUGUAUGCAAUUCACAGUAGCAGUAAAUUAUCUUUUUCAUGUGUCUUUGUUGAGGUCUUACUGCAAGACCUUGCUCAGGGAGAGACAUUAUUGGCAAGCUUCAGCCCUACUUCUUGGAAUGACUGUAGCAAAAAGAAGGGCAGUGGUGUUUGUCAAGGGGCUGUUUGCUCAAUAUGCCUGAAAUCACUGGGCAGCCAGGGAGCAUGUAAUCUUUCAACUCCCACCCCCACCCUGAAACCCCCGUCCGCUUUAUACGACUGGAUGUCUAGCGAGACAUUUUGAUUGCAACACUGUGCUCAAGUUGCCCCAAAUCAAAUGCAGUACAGACAUGUUCACGAUGGCCGCCGCCUGUUGUGCAGAAUACCAAUGACCAUCUUCCAUUAGGAGGCAGAUUAACAGAGAAUGUCAAUUGAAAAAAACCCUCCAGUCUCUCCUUUUCAAACCUCCAUUAGUUGAUUAAUUUUUACCAUUUACAGAAGCCAUCUUGUUCCAAACAUGUUUUAAUACUUAGCUGUCAAUCAUCCAAACAAUGUACAUCUGUCAAUGUCAGUUAAAGAAAUUUGCACUGAGGGAAGCACUUUGUCUCUCCUCUGGGCUCUCUUCCCUGCAGACAUCAAUAUAAAUCUACGUCCUCCACAGACUGACAACCUCCCAUUACGAGCAUGCAUGGGGAAAAAGACAAAUUGCGGCUCUCUCACCCUGAGGUUGGCGAGAGUUCAUCCAGACUGGGCCACGGAGGAGGCCGAGUGCUUUUGUUGGCCUGUCACAACUCCGCAUGUCAGCUGGGCACGUCAGUGGGUGUUAAACACGGCCCCGCAUCGGGGGCCCUGCGUUUAACUCGGCACGGGCGCGGAAUCGAAUGCUCGCUCAAGUGCAUCCCUUUGAAUCCAAUCUGUAGUGUCCUCCUGGGCUGGAAUGUUCAUGAGUGUGUG
ensembl:lncRNA